rnacentral:rRNA from 1 species
GACGUAGGGUGCAAGCGUUGUCCGGAAUUAUUGGGCGUAAAGAGCUCGUAGGCGGUUUGUCGCGUCUGCCGUGAAAGUCCGGGGCUCAACUCCGGAUCUGCGGUGGGUACGGGCGGACUAGAGUGCAGUAGGGGAGACUGGAAUUCCUGGUGUAGCGGUGAAAUGCGCAGAUAUCAGGAGGAACACCGAUGGCGAAGGCAGGUCUCUGGGCUGUAACUGACGCUGAGGAGCGAAAGCAUGGGGAGCGAACAGG